CUUGCAUAGCCUAUAUAAGAGAGAGAUUUCGCCUCAGAAAACUGCGAAUUGGUUAGUGAAGACAAAAUAAGAUGGACUAUAGAUAUUUGCUUUUAGUUGUACUUUGCUUGUCAGUUCUCAGUAUAACUACACAAGCAUAUUAUUCACCGGAAUCUUAUUACAAUCCUAUUGAUCCAAGAGCUUAUCGACAUUACGCAAAUAGCAGUGGAGUAGCGGACGUAUUUAUUCGCUUUAGAGUACCACCGAAGAGAAAUUAUAAUCGACGGUCAUAUCAAUACCCAUAUUGACUGUAUUAAAUAUUGAAAUAUAUUAAUAAAAUUGUUUUGAAAUUUUA